UUGGGCGAUUUGCCGCCAUUUUUUGCCGCUCUACACGCCCUUAAAUCGCUCCCAAAUCGCCCAGGGAACGCGCUAUUUAAUCGCCCUUAAUUGCCUGAUAUGAAAAUUAAAAAUAAUAAUUAUUUUCGGAUUCAAUACCUACUCACAUAAAUUUAUCAGUACACUAGGUAAUCACCACCAAACUAUAGGAAGAAUCGAUGGUGAAAUUCGUAUUGCACUCAAAACUUACCACAAUCAGACUUUUAUUUAGACUUUAGGUCAAAGAUCUUGUUCCACUAUACUUAUACACGAUUCCACAAUUUCCAACAUUUGUUGGCUAAAUUAAGUGCACUAGACAAACAAAAUACAAGCGAGAACACGCCAAUUGUUUAAAAAACAAUUUUAAACUUAAGCCAAACAUGAACCGCCAUGUUUGAAAAACGUAAAAAACAACCAAGUCCAUUUCAGCCGCCAGAAAAUUUCUCUAAGUAUUGAAAUUGCCUUUAAAUCGCAUUCGCAAAAUUGCAUUUGUUCCUAGGGGCAAUUAGCACACACGGUAAAUCUAGACUACCUCUUUUAUGACUAUGUUUCACACAUUUUUGAGAAUAUCAUUUAUACGUCAAAAAGUGAUUAGAUUUUAGUUAUGAACGAAGAGUAUGUUUUACGCAUUUUCGAGAAUGUCAACAACGAAGAAUAAUGCGUAAAAAGUAUAUCCCACAGACAAAAGAAAAUUUACACUUCGACGUGAGGCCAUUUUCAAAUAAGUACGUGUUGCAAACAACAUUUCUCUUUUACUUCCGCGAUUAUUAGUCGAAGGCAGAGAAAUAUGGACAAAAAAUCUAAACCUCAUUAUAAAUCAUAUAUUGGUACUAUGAUUUGAAAGACAUACGAACGCAUGAAUCCCAAUUAUGAUCAAGUUUAGUGUUACAAAGUUAGAAAUAACAGCUCCCGACUCUUAGCCUACAUAAUGCUUGAGUCGAUUUCGGCGCAUAGCUCCUAAAUACUGACUGUAUUUAAAUAAAUUGGAUAAAUAAA